ensembl:lncRNA
ACUAUCUGUCCCUUAACUAAAACUGUAGCUCCUCUUAAACACUAUCUGUCCCAAAACUAAAACUGUAGCUCCUCUUAACCACUAUCUGUCCCAAAACUCAAACUGUAAUCAUCUGUCCCUUAACUAAAACUGUAGCUCCUCUUAACCACUAUCUGUCCCAAAACUCAAACUGUAAUCAUCUGUCCCUUAACUAAAACUGUAGCUCCUCUUAACCACUGUCUGUCCCAAAACUAAAACUGUAGCUCCUUUUAACCACUAUCUGUCCCAAAACUGUAACUAUCUGUCCCAAACUAAAACUGUAGCUCCUCUUAAACACUAUCUGUCCCAAAACUAAAACUGUAGUUCCUCUUAACCACUAUCUGUCCCAAAACUCAAACUGUAACAAUCUGUCCCAAACUUAAAACUGGUGGUUCGACUUGGGAGUAGUUUCUGUUUGGACUAUCUGAAUGGUUGGCAAUGUUUUGAUUUUCGAGAUUGGAGGGUCAGGAAGAGCCAAAAAGUUAAUCUCAGCAACCAAAAACAUUUGCGACACACUCUUGGCUGUCUGUGUUGAGGUGCAGUACACAGAUUGGACCGCUAGAUGGGGGUGUUGUAUCGGCGGUAGUGAGUGGUUUACCCCUCUGAGAUUCUCUGCUAUUGGCUAGGCAAAGGCUACAGCUAAUAACGUUUACAGAAGAAACUUGUGGGCAGCGCUAGCUCCGAGCUAGUGUAGCAUGAUGCUAACGCUACAUGAUAUAAUAGCUAAAAUGCUAAUCCCCUAAUCUGCAGCUGGGGGAUGGAUGGAUGGAUGGACGAACAGAGAGCGUUAAUGAAAGAGGGAUGAUGUGGAAAUGACAUCACAGACAGAGCAAGCUGUCAUUGGUCAGGAUGAGUUAUUGACCUCUGACCCUGUAGUCGUCCAAUUGACAUCCUGCGCUGGUGUGGGGGCAGGGUCAGCCCAUAUGUGGACUAUAAUCAACUCUGUGUGAUGCACUGCACUGCUCCGGACGUGGCUUUCUAGGAACCACACAAAACACACAGACAAGUACAGUACAUUCUCAGACUCUGUCUCACUCUGUGUGUGUGUCUCUC